UUUUUAAAAACAACUGAACCAAAAAGGUAAUGCCCUAGACUUCUCUUAUUAUGGAUGAUGUGGUACACAUCACAAUUACUGGUUCCAGUUUUUCAACCCUCCCUGAGUACGUGUCUUCUGCCAUGUAACUAACUACAAAAGUUGGAGUGUACCCUACUGCUUCUUGACUAGGGACUUGGACAUUUUUCUUAUACUGGCCAAUGGAAUGUGGGCAGGAAUAGCAGUGUAUCAGCCUAAAUUUUAGAGGUACUGCGUAUUUCUGCUUGUUCUCUUGCACCUGCUGUCAGUAUAAGAAUUUCCUCUGGGUAGUGGCUGCUACUUGUCGUGAGUCCAGGGGAAAACACUAUUGGAGGUGCUUGGACUCUUGAGUCCAAACUGCAAUGAUGUGCCACACUCACCCAGCUGCAUCUGAACUGAAGUGGGGCCGAGCCAAGCCUUGCCUGAGAUCAGCAGACCUUUGACAAUCCACAAAAAUAUUGGUUGAAAAAAAAAAUACACACACUGAAAAUGGCCAGAAUUGGUGAGGAUAAGUAUCUGCUUAGGACACAGAAGUCAAUUACACCCAAACCCUGAAUGGAAUCAGAAUCAGAAUCAGCCAUGCAAUGAGGAAGAAGAAAUGUAAGUUGAGGCCUGUGAUUCCAACAGUUCUCUUUCUGGAAUGGUUACCAAGGAGAAAGUGUCCUGCAAAUCACAGUGUCCAACAGAAUCAACACUGCUAAACACACUCCCACUGGAGUACGGAGAAAGGGGAUCCACAGAAGAGCCUAAUCCUGAACCACUUCCAUGUAUUUGCCCAUCCAUUUCUCCUGUCUGGCCAAUACUCUUCAUAUUCAAAUUCUACCAGUCCUUCAAAGAUCAGAUUAAGUUCCAAAAUUUCAAAAGCCUUCUCAGCCUACUCUUACAGCUUAAUAGUGCACACCAACUUCAAUUAAUUAUAAACUCACUUGUUUCAUUUUAUAUUAUUUAAUAGAAACGUUGGAAUUUAAUCUUGGUGUUUUUUACA